UACGUAGGGUCCGAGCGUUGUCCGGAAUUACUGGGCGUAAAGAGCUCGUAGGUGGUUUGUCGCGUUGUUCGUGAAAACUCACAACUCAAUUGUGGGCGUGCGGGCGAUACGGGCAGACUGGAGUACUGCAGGGGAGACUGGAAUUCCUGGUGUAGCGGUGGAAUGCGCAGAUAUCAGGAGGAACACCGGUGGCGAAGGCGGGUCUCUGGGCAGUAACUGACGCUGAGGAGCGAAAGCGUGGGGAGCGAACAGGA
rnacentral:rRNA from 1 species